CUAGCACUUUCACAGGUCCUCCCUCAGUCAGUAAGGUCAGGAUUUGGUAGCUGGUGCUGAGAUAAAAUCCUUGAUUACAUCCUUGCCCUGAUACUGUAUCAGUGCAGCUGUUAACUCAAGGGAACAGUA
ensembl:snoRNA Snora30 small nucleolar RNA, H/ACA box 30